rnacentral:rRNA from 1 species
GUGGGGAAUUUUGGACAAUGGGCGCAAGCCUGAUCCAGCAAUGCCGCGUGCAGGAAGAAGGCCUUCGGGUUGUAAACUGCUUUUGUACGGAACGAAAAGGCUCUGGUUAAUACCUGGGGCUCAUGACGGUACCGUAAGAAUAAGCACCGGCUAACUACGUGCCAGCAGCCGCGGUAAUACGUAGGGUGCAAGCGUUAAUCGGAAUUACUGGGCGUAAAGCGUGCGCAGGCGGUUUUGUAAGACAGACGUGAAAUCCCCGGGCUCAACCUGGGAAUGGCGUUUGUGACUGCAAAGCUGGAGUGCGGCAGAGGGGGAUGGAAUUCCGCGUGUAGCAGUGAAAUGCGUAGAUAUGCGGAGGAACACCGAUGGCGAAGGCAAUCCCCUGGGCCUGCACUGACGCUCAUACACGAAAGCGUAGGGAGCAAACAGGAUUAGAAACCCGGGUAAUCC